UACGUAGGGGGCAAGCGUUGUCCGGAUUCACUGGGCGUAAAGAGCGCGUAGGCGGUCUGUUAAGUCGGGAGUGAAAUCCAACGGCUCAACCGUUGGACGUCUCCCGAAACUGGCAGGCUAGAGUGGCAGAGAGGUGAUUGGAAUUCCCGGUGGAGCGGUGAAAUGCUUAGAUAUCGGGAGGAACACCCGAGGCGAAGGCGGAUCACUGGCUGCCAACUGACGCUGAGGCGCGAAAGCGUGGGGAGCAAACAGG
rnacentral:rRNA from 1 species